GACGAACGCUGGCGGCGUGCUUAACACAUGCAAGUCGAACGAAGUGGCGAACGGGUGAGUAACGCGUAAUCAACCUGCCAUUCAGAGGGGGACAACAGUUGGAAACGACUGCUAAUACCGCAUACUGAAGCAUGGGAUUGCGUCGUCUGAGCUAGUUGGAGGGGUAACGGCUCACCAAGGCGAUGAUCAGUAGCCGGCCGGAGAGGGUGAACGGCCACAUUGGGACUGAGACACGGCCCAGACUCCUACGGGAGGCAGCAGUGGGGAAUCUUCCGCAAUGGACGGAAGUCUGACGGAGCAACGCCGCGUGAGUGAUGAAGGCCUUCGGGUUGUAAAGCUCUGUUAAUCGGGACGCGGUACCUGAAUAGAAAGCCACGGCUAACUACGUGCCAGCAGCCGCGGUAAUAC
rnacentral:rRNA from 1 species